GACGAACGCUGGCGGCGUGCUUAACACAUGCAAGUCGAACGGAAAGGCCCUGCUUUUGUGGGGUGCUCGUGUGGCGAACGGGUGAGUAACACGUGAGUAACCUGCCCUUGACUUUGGGAUAACUUCAGGAAACUGGGGCUAUUACCGGAUAGGAGCUCCUGCUGCAUGGUGGGGGUUGGAAAGUUUCGGCGGUUGGGGAUGGACUCGAGGCUUAUCAGCUUGUUGGUGGGGUAGUGGCUUACCAAGGCUUUGACGGAUAGCCGGCCUGGGAGGGUGACCGGCGACAUUGGGACUGAGAUACGGCCCAGACUCCUACGGGAGGCAGCAGUGGGGAAUAUUGCACAAUGGGCGGAAGCCUGAUGCAGCAACGCCGCGUGCGGGAUGACGGCCUUCGGGUUGUAAACCGCUUUCGCCUGUGACGAAGCGUGAGUGACGGUAAUGGGUAAAGAAGCACCGGCUAACUACGUG
rnacentral:rRNA from 1 species